rnacentral:rRNA from 1 species
UACGUAGGGUGCGAGCGUUAAUCGGAAUUACUGGGCGUAAAGAGUGCGCAGGCGGCCGCGCAAGUCGAGUGUGAAAGCCCCGAGCUUAACUUGGGAAUUGCGCUCGAAACUACGUGGCUGGAGUGUGGCAGAGGAAGGUGGAAUUCCACGUGUAGCGGUGAAAUGCGUAGAGAUGUGGAGGAACACCGAUGGCGAAGGCAGCCUUCUGGGCCAACACUGACGCUGAGGCACGAAAGCGUGGGGAGCGAACAGG